AUUGAACGCUGGCGGCAUGCCUUACACAUGCAAGUCGAACGGUAACAGGUCUUCGGAUGCUGACGAGUGGCGAACGGGUGAGUAAUACAUCGGAACGUGCCUAGUAGUGGGGGAUAACUACUCGAAAGAGUGGCUAAUACCGCAUGAGAUCUACGGAUGAAAGCAGGGGAUCGCAAGACCCUGUGCUACUAGAGCGGCCGAUGGCGGAUUAGGUAGUUGGUGGGAUAAAAGCUUACCAAGCCGACGAUCUGUAGCUGGUCUGAGAGGACGAUCAGCCACACUGGGACUGAGACACGGCCCAGACUCCUACGGGAGGCAGCAGUGGGGAAUUUUGGACAAUGGGCGCAAGCCUGAUCCAGCAAUGCCGCGUGCAGGAUGAAGGCCUUCGGGUUGUAAACUGCUUUUGUACGGAACGAAAAGCCCUGGGUUAAUACCCUGGGGUCAUGACGGUACCGUAAGAAUAAGCACCGGCUAACUACGUGCCAGCAGCCGCUGUAACAC
rnacentral:rRNA from 1 species